rnacentral:rRNA from 1 species
UACAGAGGGGGCAAGCGUUAUUCGGAAUUAUUGGGCGUAAAGAGCUCGUAGGCGGUGUGUCGCGUCGGCCGUGAAAACCUGCAGCUUAACUGUGGGCUUGCGGUCGAUACGGGCAUCACUGGAGUUCGGCAGGGGAGACUGGAAUUCCUGGUGUAGCGGUGAAAUGCGCAGAUAUCAGGAGGAACGACCGGUGGCGAAGGCGGGUCUCUGGGCCGAUACUGACGCUGAGGAGCGAAAGCGUGGGGAGCGAACAGG